ACGGAAGGCAGCAGUGGGGAAUAUUGCACAAUGGGCGAAAGCCUGAUGCAGCGACGCCGCGUGAGUGAAGAAGUAUCUCGGUAUGUAAAGCUCUAUCAGCAGGGAAGAAAAUGACGGUACCUGACUAAGAAGCCCCGGCUAACUACGUGCCAGCAGCCGCGGUAAUACGUAGGGGGCAAGCGUUAUCCGGAUUUACUGGGUGUAAAGGGAGCGUAGACGGUUUGGCAAGUCUGAAGUGAAAUGCGGGGGCUCAACUCCUGAACUGCUUUGGAAACUGUCGAACUAGAGUGCAGGAGAGGUAAGUGGAAUUCCUAGUGUAGCGGUGAAAUGCGUAGAUAUUAGGAGGAACACCAGUGGCGAAGGCGGCUUACUGGACUGUAACUGACGUUGAGGCUCGAAAGCGUGGGGAGCAAAUAGGAUUAGAUACCCUGGUA
rnacentral:rRNA from 1 species